rnacentral:rRNA from 1 species
UCUGACCUGCCCCUUGGAAAACUGAAAGGCCGCGGUAUUAUGCCCGUGCAAAGGUAGCAUAAUCAUUAGUUUUUUAAUUGAAGGCUAGAAUGAAUGGUUGGACAAGAAAUAAUCUGUCUUAAAUUAAUAUAUUGAAUUUAACUUUUAAGUGAAAAGGCUUAAAUGAUCUAAGGGGACGAUAAGACCCUAUAAAACUUUAUAUUUUAAGGUGGAAAAUAAUUUUAUUUUAAAAUUACUAUUUUAAAUUAUUUUGUUGGGGCGACAAGGAUAUAAGAAAGGAUAACUGUCUUUUAUUUUUACAAUAAUAUUUGAAUUAUUGAUCCUAAAAGGGAUUAAAGAUUAAGUUACUUUAGGGAUAACAGCGUAAUUUUCUUUGAGAGUUCUUAUCGACAAGAAAGUUUGCGACCUCGAUGUUGAAUUAAAGGUUCUUUAUAGAGUAGAGACUAUAAGAGAAGGUCUGUUCGACCUUUAAAAUUUUACAUGAUUUGA